UUUUUUUUUUUUUUUUUUUUUGCAUCCGCUACAAGGGGAGUCAUUUUGUCCGGGGGUUACCGACUAGUUUAUAAUUUUAAAUGAAGAAACCAACUAUAAGGUGCCAUAAACAACCGCUGAUUUUUUGCCGAAAUUAAAAAAUUACUUUUGCAACCGCUCAAGUCUUGGUUUAGCGGUCAAGACAAUCGAAACAGACUUAUAGCUGUUUGUUUGAUAGAACAACAACAUCAAUGAGACAGCCAGUGAGACAUAUAUAGCAGUUCCAAGUAUGGAUCCAUUCUAGUUUGAAAUGAUCAACUCCUGCUGUAGAUCCAACAAUCCCAUACUUCAGCUGUUCAUUGCAAACAAAUUUAGUGAAAAAUUAAAGAUCCUGUUGUUGCUGAUCAUUAAACUGUGCAUCCACCAUCAACCACAAGAUUAUGCCCUGUGAUAAAUGUAGAAUCAUCGGAGGCAAGGAAUAAAGCAGCAUCAGCAACAUGAUCAACUUUCAGUAUAGCUUCUUUCAAGGAAGUCUGAGGCUGAUGAAUCUUCUCUAAUUCCUCAACAUCCAUAUGAAAAUAGUUGCACGCUAAUGGUGUAGCAACAACAAAUGGUGAAACAGCGUUGACUCUAAUCCCAUGUGGCCCCAACUGCUUACUAGCACAUCUCAUCAGCCCCAGAACUGCAUGUUUCGACAUGUAAUAAUCUGUCGAAACUUCUCCAGCUGUAGUGGCUGCUAUACUCGCCGUGCAAACUAUGCUGCCCUUUACUCCCCUUUCCACCAUCGCUUUUGCAGCAUGUUUUACACAUGCCGUCAUGCCUCGUACGUUGAUAGCAAAGAGUUGAUCAAGUUCUGAGAAGUCAAGAUCGAUCACCAAUUGAUUUGACUUGCUAAAUACUCCAGCAUUGCUGAACAUGACAUCUAGUUGGCCGUAAGUUUGGAUGGUUGAAUCUAUCAUUCUCUGGACUUGCUCUUCAUCAGCUACAUCACAACGGACAUAGCUGCAGUUUUUUGAACCAAUCGAUUCAGCCACGGUUCGGCCCUUUUCGUCUUGGAUGUCAGCGAUCACAACUUUGGCACCAUGGUUGGCAAAAAGUCGAGCAGUUGCCUCGCCGAUGCCGCUAGCACCACCUGUUACGACGGCAACUUUGGCUUCCAGCUUUUUGGUGAUGCUAGAAGGUUGUUGCGCCAUCUCUCUCGAGGAAAAGAAGAAAAAAAAAAGAUUUUUUUUUUCAGGAAGCUAGUUCUUCUUUAGGAGAAAUUAUAGUUGUACAAUGCAUGUAAAACUUCAAGGAUUGCUGCUUUAUAAUACUACCAUAUGUCCCACCCUUGCCUAAUCGUGCGCCAUUGUGCCUAUAGAGUAUUUUACUCUAUAAUUGGAAGUCCAAACAAGUUGCCAACUCAUGUUGGAAGGCAUUAUGUACUUGGAAUCUCUGAUGUUUUCUAGGUAAUACUUAAUGAGCCCAAGUCAACGAUGGAGAGUUGGUGUGUUGAGAAUUGGGAAUUUUAUGCAGGCCUAUAAUUUACAGAACAAAUUGAUGAUCCCAGAAUCCAUUUAGCAGUGGUCUAACAUGUUGUGUUAUCUCACCCACUUAACAGACUAUCGUUUGAUUCAAGCCUCCAAUCCAGAGUCUAAUAUGUUCUCUGACAGAUUCAAGCCUCCAAUGCAGAGAUUUCAAUUGAUUAGAGCAUUUCUCAAGAGGAUCGGCUGGUUUGCAACUUUAAUAACCAAACAAAACAGCUCCUUUAUUAUUAUUAUUUUUUGGGGUCCGUUCAGGAAAAUUUAAGUCAAGAGCAGCUGGCAGAACUGGACGUAAGCUGAUUGGGCUAAGUCUGGCCUUGAAUUAGCCAACCACUUGGGGCCUGAUCAAUGUUCAUGCCGUAGAGAUUAAUGUUGCAUUCCUAAAUAAUCACAACCACAAUCCUCUGGGAGAAACUCCCAUUUGAGAGGCCGAAUCUGUCAGUCAUGAACUGUAGAGUGAUUUGAUAUCAAAGUUGUCACAGAAUGAGAUGAAGCGCCAGGCAGUCCAGAAAAUACAGGGGACGACGUCUUACUAUCCAUGUUAACUAGUUAAUAUACCAAAUUCCAAAUGUUAAAACCCCCAUGAUAAUACUGAAUCCAAGUUCAUGACUUCAUUCAUAUUUCAUUCAAUUAACACACCAUGCAAGUAUUGUAAUUGAUGAAGGGAGGGGUGUUCGCUUGAGGACUUGAAGCCUUUGAAAUGAAGCUUGCAUUUGGGGGAAAUAAUCAAAUCUAGCAUGAUCCCUCAAAAAAAAAAAAUUUUUUUUUUUUUUUUUGGAUAAGCAAGAUAACUUCAUUUAAUUCACUGAAAGCUGACACUCCAAGAAAUACAGCAAGUAGAAGGGAUGGUCUGAUUCCUUAUUUUGAUAACAAGUAGAAUGUGUCAGGAAAUAGAGUCUUGUUCCUCCCAAUUCAUCCAUCAUACGCGGGCUUGUUUUGGACCAUAUCCGCAACUUGGACAACAUAUCGAGAGAUUGAACAAUCUUUACAAAUUAACCUCCGCUUAACAGAGUUAGAAGUACUUUUGCUAUGGUUUCAAUCUGAGUAAAAAAGCAAAAGAAACAACAUCCAGGAUGAGUCUAAAGACUGAACUAUAUGAUCAGAAUACAUUGCUGGCCUACUUAAAAGUAAGGCACUUAUCUAUCAAACUCGUGUAUUUGACAAGUUUUCUGGUCAGGGGUUCAUGAUCCCUCCAUCAUUGAUGAAUUCAUGGUGCUGUGGAGUGCUCUAUUCCGAAGCAUCCUCCUGCCUCCAAUGUGUGUAUUUUACAAGUUUUCUUACCAGCUAACCACUCCCAAGAAACUGUAGCACGAGACAGAAGAUUGUAAAUCAAUAAGAUGUUAAAUGACUUAAAUCAGAAGGAAGAAAAGUAUAAAUAUGAAAAAGAAAAGGAGGAAAACUAUAUCCUAGUAUACACUCUAUAGCUCCAUAACAUCAGCUCAGAGAAAUACUUCCUUCAUUUACAAGGGGUUUUUUUUUUUUGGGUGAGAGUAUUUUUAAGUUUUGCUGGGUCCACGAUGUGACACCGUGUCAAGAACAAAACAAGUAAUAGCAUAUGAGUCAUUGACGGAGUGGGAGAUCAAUUGACAUUUUUUCACAAGCUCAUCCUCUGAAUUUUCUGCUAAAAUAAUCAAUGCCACAACUUUUUCUUUCUUUUCUUCACUUUUUUUUGCUGUAGAGAUCUAAUGAAAAGUAUAAUGUCAAUCAGAUAAAAAGAUAAUUCGAUACUGAUCUCCUCUACUUUGUCCUUCUGCAAUGACGUAUAUAUCUUGUGCUCCUAUCUUCAUUAUUGGCUUCGAAAAAGUACGAACCAACUUUGACGACUAAUUAUUCAAUUAAAACCAGAAUAAAAAAGAUUUAAUUUCUCACGGCUUUCUUGAGGAUGAUCGACCUGGGGGAGAGGGUGGGAAAGAUUAUUGAUGAAACUACAAGAGAAAAUUCACAACAAGAGAGCAAAAAAAAAAAAAAAAAGUUCACUAGAUUUGAUGAAGCAAUAAACUAGUAGAUUGAAGGGUAUAUUGAUACCUGAGGGAACGAAAGGCAAGGUGAGAAGAGAGAGCGUGGAAGAAGAAGUUAACUCCAUGAAGCAACACCACCACUGCCGUGCAACCCAGCAGAAAAAACUCCAUCAUCAUUCCUUCCCUUCUCCUCCCUGAUCUUAAUUAGUGGCUUCCUCACUUAAUUUGGAAAAGAUCAGUUUUCCAAAUCCUUGUUGCCAAAAACUCAAAAGGUGAAAGCCAGCCAGCAACUUUUUAGAUUCUUGAAUCAGCCCAACUUAUCUCGUAUAGUAAUUAAUAAAGAAGAGGAAACUGCAAUAAGAGGAAGAUAUAUAUAUAUUUAUGUGUUAAAAGUAUUUUGAAGAGACCAGAGCACAACAAUUUAGUCCAGUCGGUGCAAUAUAGGAGGGUAAUAGAUUAAUAAAAUAUAUAUACCAGAAGAAUAAAAAUUGUCUGGACAAUAAUUGAUGGGUAUAUGACGUCGACGUUCCUAUCUUAGCUAUAUAUCCUGCGUGCAUAUGAGGGUGAUAUGAAUAAGAUUGACACUAUUCCUAUCGCCUUCAUCACAACCCCUUUGGAUACAGAAGAAAUGCUUUUGGGUAUUCUCCGAUCAUUUUUCUGCUUUUUAUUCUCCAUUAGUAAUAAAUGAGAAACUACCGGACCUACCCGUCGCCACCAACCCAUUUCUCCUUUCACGGAACUGUGGAGCUAGUUUUGUUGUUCCUCUACAACUGUCCACAUAUUAUUAAAGAAUUAAUCUUCUAAAUUGAAAUUUUGUAUAUAUGACAUGUAUUUAAAUUCGAUAACGUGUACCUCAUCAUUAUAAUAAAAAAUAACCCUAUUAUUAAUGCAAUAUUCUUAUUUUUAUAUUAUAUAAGAAUGGGUUGUGGUUAAAGGAAGUUUGAAUUUCAACAGUAUGAAUAAUAGGUUUUUGGGAAUGUGGAAUGUUGUGUAGCUUUUUUAAAACUUUUGGUACAAUUGAGAGCAGCACGUGUUUAGGUAUAUACUGAAAUGAACUCAUUUUGGUACAUUUAAAACUUUGAUUUAUGAAGACAUCUGUGUAUUCUGUCCGCGCGCCAAGUUCCGCCACGCGACGCAGGCCACGGACAGGGCCCGCACGCCACUUCGCGAAGGCCCAGCUCAUCUGAGUUCCGCCGCCCGCAGCUCCACCUCCGACCGCUGCUGUUCACGACACCAAACGCUGCACCUCCUCUCUCUUCGCCGCACGCCACCCGCUGCUGUCCCCUUUCAUUUGGUUGUCAUCCAAGGUGGAGGUAAUUGGAACUUGUCCCCCAUUCUCUUAAUAACUAAUUGGUGCUGCCUGGGUUGCUCAAUAGUUAAUGUUGUUGACGAUUGAAGUUUAUUUUCUCAAUUGGUGAAUUCCACCAGUGGUACUGGUCGGACUAUUUUCGCUUGGAAUUGCUAUUUCUUUUGGGUUGGGUGAAAUUGUGCAAUUAAUUGGCCAACUGGAGCCAUUUGUUGGGACUUUGGGUGAGCUGAAAUAUUGCACUUGUUUGUUAAAUUGGGAGGCCUCUAUACCAUUUACAUUGCUUAUUCCAGUUCAGUGCAUCUAGUUGAAAUGCUGGGGUUCAUUAUUAGAUUUGACUGAGAAUCCUGUGGAUACAUUGUUUGUUGUGUGAAUUGAGCUACAUUAUUUGGGGGAUCUCACUAGUGUGGGUUAGUAGCCGUUGAACUUGUUUCAUCCAUUGUUUGGGUAUUUUGGCUUCGCUGGGUCACUUCUACUCUUUUGGCUGACUGUUGGAGGCUGGGCACUUGGAGUUACUCUGCUACUGUCGAAUUUAUGAGUUAUUAUUGAUUGCAUUGUUAUUUCUUGGGGCUGUUGCUACAAUUUCAGUUGAUUGAGUUGUGCAUUCCAUUUUCCGCCAGUGGUACUAGUUGGAGUGUUUUCCCCCGAAUGUGUUUACUCUAGCUGGUUAGAUAUUCGAUCAAACUGCCAGGAUCUUGUGGCUAUGUUGCUCUUGAUAAACUUUAGGGUUGCUAUUGCUAGAUUUAGCAUAUUAUUGGGGUAUUCGUUAAAAUUUUAGAGUGCAUUUGUUGAGAUUAGGAAUGGCCAAGUUUGCUUGUUGACUGACUGAAUUAGGUAGUCCCUGUGCUUAUUGACGUGACUUUGCUAGUUCCCAGUUAUUGAUAAUAGUUUCUGGUUGUUGAUUUUGGAGUGCAACUGUUGCUUUAUUGACCAUAUUUGGGCUUGAGUGGCCCGUGUUUGCUUUUGCAUUUGACUAUUGAGUUGGGGAACACCAGUGACUAUGGAUUUGCAUUUGUUGGUUGCUAUCUUUGUUGGAUAUUCUGUCUUUUGUUAUUUGGGGUGAUAAUUGGCGUCAAUGGUGAGUGGCGCCACUUACAAGUACAGGUUCACAACGGAGAUGAGCGAAUGACGAAUAUCACCCGCCAAGUGGCAAGGAUGUCUCAGAACUCGGCUUCCCUCCACUGUUCCCUCCUAUCCCUUAGCUGUUCAACAGGGAAGUUUCAUUGUUCUCUUCGUUUUCAUUACUUUAUUACCUCCAUUGAGGACAAUGUAGGAUUUAGGUGUGGGGGGAGCAGUUAUGGUGCUAGUGUCUUUCAUUCAAUUUUUUUUUCUUUUUAGUGAUUGGCUUGUAAGUGCAUGCCAAGGUUUGAUGUUGGAUUAUUACCUCUAUUUCUACUAUUGCCAAUUUUAAUAAUAAAAGGGUAUCAAGUUAAUGUGGUUGAAUCCAAAAACAUCUCUUUGGUGAAUAUCGAUGAUUGUUUUACUCUUAUAAUUUUUGGUUAACUUUCCUAGGCAUAGGGAAUGAUUAUUGGCAUUUUCAUGUGAAUUGGUCCGGUUAUUAACUUUAGUUCUCCAUGUUUGAAAAUGAGACUAGCUGAUGCAAGUUUUCUUUUGGUUCUUGUGUUAUAUUGAGUUUUUGUGAUUUUUAGCUAUGAAUAAACUUGACUGUACUCCGCUAGUAUUUACUACCGAGUAACCGGGGAUUUUCACCAAAAGUGUCGAUUCUCGCGUCAAAAAGUAGUAAUUGCUAUGAGUACGUGGUCACGUGGCGAUAGAAGCUGAGUAACCGGGCUCCUUCAUCCGGCCAAUGUUGAAGUUCGCGUCAAAAGGCUCAAAUGGCUAGCGACUAAGUCUUUUGUUACUAUUGAAAAAAAAAGAGAAAAAAAAAAGAGAAAAAAAAAAGAGAGAAAAGUAGGGAAAAAAAAUAUGAAAAAAAAAGUGAAGGUUGUGUUAGUGUGUAAUAAAAGUCAGCUUGCCGAAUUAUGGAUUUAAUGUUGAGAUUUUGGUUAAUAGUUGGACCAUUUGCUGAUAAAUGUUAUGCAUCAUUCCUUUUUCUUAGAUUAGUUAACUUAAAAUUAGAGGAGUUUGUGGUUUAGAAGCUAACCGGAAUGAUGUUUCUUGGACUUGACCAUUGAUGCUUGAUUCUUAUUUUUCUUGGUACCUUGGCAAUUUGUUGGAUAGAGCAAUGACCAUUAUCACAUUUUGGUAUCUGUUUACUAUUCUCAUGCUUGAGGACAAGCAUGGUUUAGGUGUGGGGGAAAUUGAUAGGUUGCGAUUUUAUCAUUUAUUUUAUUAUUAAUUUCUCCUAUUACCUGACCCAAUUUGGAAUAAUUGUUAGUUUCUACUCAUUUUUAGUAUUUUACAUAUAUUUCAGGGAGUAGAACGAAAAUACCAUAAUAAGUGCCGAUUUGACAGUUAUCAGGAAAGAGUUCAAGUAGCAGGCAUCCAGGGCAUUUUUGGAACAAGGAGAUACAAGUCCUUUUUGGUAAUUCGCAGAGCGCAGCAUUAAAAGGAGGAACGAAGGGCUGAAGUGGGGGUCUUCUUCUUCCUCUCCGGAAGGGGAGCCGCCGCACAUUGGAGAGCUUUUCGUCUUGUAGCUUAGCCGUAGUUGUUGACUUUUCUUCUUAGUUUUUGUUAGCUAGUUUCUUUCUUACGUAUGAAGAUUGCUGAGAAGCUUAGCUUUUGUUUUUGAUUCUGCCUAUUCAAUUUCUCUUCUCCGAAUGUCGGACAAAAGCAAACACACUCAGUGGACUCUCGUAGCUUCCUUUCUUUAUUGAAUGCCCAGCUUCCCAAUUGAUGGCCGCAGCCUUUGCUUCAAUUUCUUGUGGGUUUAGUUCAUUAAUUAUGAACUAAUUCUACAAUUCUAGUCAAGGGACAACUGACGAUUUGGUUCGACAACUACUGUGAGAUCGAAUCUGUUUUAAUUAUUUUCUUCAUUUAUUGGUAUUUAUAUGUUCCUUGAUUUUAAUUGCUAUGGCCUUGUGUAUGAUUGAUUAGUGCGCAAUAAUUAAUUAUUCAUAUAGGCUAUUUUUGCUAAAUAGGGGUAAUUGAAUCCGUAAUUGUUCGUUAUCUCUACCUCAGUAGCAACUGGCGUAAUUGGGUUUAUGUCAGGGGAGCAUAUGAUCUAAUUUAAACAAACCCUCGUAGCGUGUUUGUUGGUUAGGAUUGGGCCUUUCUAAUUAUUAAUGCAAUCUAGAAAUUAAAUCCUACGGUCGUACUUAGGGUUGUUUUUGGGUUAGAGAAAUAGCUAACGGUCGUACCUUAGCUAUCGAUAAAUUAAGGAAGGGUUGGUUGUUUAUCGCGUGCAUGACAACUAUAACCAAUCUAUUAAUAAAUGUUGGGAUUAUUUUUGCAUCAAUGAUCAGUGCAUGAACCAUUUCUGAAGUAUACCCUUGGCUAGAGUUUCUCUUAGUUAUUUCUUUUAAUUAAUUAUUUUCUGCAGUUAAUUUAUUUAGUUAGCAUUUAUUCCAAAACCCCCCAUACUUUGGACUCUAAAAGAAACAAUUACUCCCAGUCCCUGUGGAUUCGACCCUGCUCACCGCUAUCUACAGAAUUAACUUUAGUUUGAGCAGGUUUUAUUAUUGUACAGGCUUCAACAACCUGUCAAUUUCUGGCGCCGUUGCCGGGGACUGGUGUCAGAUUAAUUUGUUUCUUUUUGAGUUCACAUUGUUUUCAUUUUUAAUUUAUUUUUCUCUUAUUUUUUUUUUAUAUAGUUUAUGGCUGCUAACAUUCCAUAUUUUGAUGAUAGACUGGACUUUGUUCCUGAAUGGGGUUAUGAGACUCAUGUUUUUCCUAAUGAUCAAUGGGCUGUUGCAAAUUGUGGAGCUUAUUUUGACUCAGGUUAUUCAACUGACACAUGCCCCGCAUUUCAAGACAAUCUAAGUGCUCCAAUUGAUACUUUUGGAGAUUUUUCACCCCAAUAUCAAAUGCAGUAUGACCCUUAUUCAAACGGGUAUGAUCAAGGAUGGUGGGAUAAUUCCAGUUUUGAUUAUGCGACUGGGCCAAUGGAUUUUCAACAGCAAGAGUCUCAACAACCAUCGUCCCUGUCAGGGUACCAGCAGCAAUACCAACCCCGACCACCUCCGCCCCCAAGCUCUGGUCCAUCUUUGGAGGAGAUGAUAAAACAAGUGAUGACAAACAUGGCGCAAAAUCAGCAAAGGACGGAGGCAAUUCUUAUGCAAAAUCAACAAAGGACGGACUCCGAAAUGCAGGAUAUAAGGAAUCAGAUAAGUCAAAUGGCUACAACAAUCAAUCGUUUGGAUUCCCAGAACCAAGGUGAAUUGCCAUCUCAACCUGAGUUGAACCCGAAGAAUGUCAGCGCCAUGACCUUGAGGAGUGGCAAAGAGGUUCAAGGGCCUGAGCCUGUGAUCCCUAAGGACAAGGAUGAGGAGAUGCAAGAAUGUCAAAAUGAGAAAUCUACAGAUGCAGUUGAAAAAGAAGCCGAAAAUGAAGAAAUGGAACCCCAACCGCAACCCAUUGAAGUGAAAGAAUCCAGUGAAGAAUCAUCAAAUGUGGUGACACCACCUCCAUUCCCUAACCCGCAUUUUCUUAACUUUUAUUCCAUGAUUUCUGUUAAUGAGAUUGAUUUUGUUAUACCGGAAGUUUUUGAGUCUCAUGGCAGAAAUAAGUUAAGAGUAGCUAUGGUCAAAUAUCUUGAACCGUUGAGUGCUCUUGAUGGAGGGGUGGAGGAAAAAUUGAGAUCACUGCUUGAUUAUUUGGCACCAUCAACUAAUCCAUGGAAGACUGUAGCUCGUGUGCUCAAAGAUUACUCCAUCUAUGAGGGUUACCAGGAUCAUAUAGAGGAUGAAGCAUUAAGACGAGUUACACGAUUUUAUCCUCCAUGAACAAAACAUGAUAAUGUCUAGUCAAAAACAUUAAAGAAAGGCGCUCAUUGGGAGGCAACCCAAUUGUUUCUUUAAAUUGAUUGUUUUGAUUUCGUGUGAUAGUUUAAAUAUGUUUUCCUUGAAUUUGACUGAUUUUGGGUGUUAAUUUUCGUUUUUGCUGAUUUGUAGGUGACCUCCAGGCAUGACGCGCCCACGUGAUGACGAGCAGGAAGCUCACGAUCAGAAACUUCAAACUUCUGGGAGCUCUCUUACCCUCAUGACGCGCCCGCGUGAUGACAUGCAGGAAGCUUACGAUCAGCAACUUCUGGGAGCUCUCUUGCCCUCUUGACGUGCCCGCGUCACGUUCGCGGGAAAGGUAAGGAUUCAAAAAAAAAAAAAAUUCUUUUAACCGUAGCUACCUCUUUUCUUUUUUGUUACAAAAGAAAAAAAAUAAAAAAUAAAAUAAAAAUAGAAUAAAAAUAAAAAACCCGUGAUUCCGUGGUCGGUGAUCCAGUGAGAAUUCUACACUUUGAUAAUCACGCUUUUCCAAAAAGCGCGUUGUCUCUAUCGUAUUCUCAUCAAUUAUUUAGUACGAAGAUUCUGCUCUUUUUCUUGCUCUCCUUUUGGGGCGGUUACAUUAAAUAAUAGAAUGAUUUCAGAAAUCUUCCAUAAAAUUUAUAACAACUUCACUUAGCAUUUUGUUGAAGUUUUAAAAAUACCUCGAAUUAUCCAAAAAAAAAAAGAGAGAGAGAUCAUAUUUUCCUUGCUUAUUUUGUCAACAUCAAAAAGAGACAAAAAAAUGGAAGGCCGCAAUUAAAAGUAUGCAGCCACUUGGAGUUUGCCUUAGCAAAUCAGUGACGUAGUAUCAUGGUCCCAACAGUACCUAUGACGUCUAACGUUACGUAAUUUCCAUUGACGUUAUGGUCUACCAAGCUUCUCUCCGCCCCACCUAUGAUAUAUAUAGUCUUCCCAUCAGCCCCUACCCACUAUCAAAAGCCCCCCCUCCACCACACCACCUAGCUAUGAUCACUUUUUCUCUCAAAAAUCCCAAAAAAAGGUAGACAGUAGAAAUUAAACCACCAUGCAGCAAGCAACACCAUAUACAACCUGGCCUCCGACCACCGCAACCUCCGCCGGCGGCUUCCACCAGCCUCGAGUCACAGCUAAGUGACAGUAGCAAAAGUGCGGAAAAUGAUGGUAUACAAGUAGUACCAGUCAGGUAACGAGACUGGUAUCAGAAAAUGCAGUGAUUGCGUUUGGGAGACGAGGUGCUGCAUGUGCUAUGUUGUCAAGCAACUGUUGCUGGCCUUGGCGUUAAUCCCACCAUUUUUUACGUUGACGAGGAAGAUGAAGGGGCAAUAAUCGAUGAGCUAUCGAAAAUCGCAGGCGUUUUGGAAGGGGAUGGCAAUGGGAAGGUGCAAUUUCCGGCUGUUUUUGUGGGCGGAAAGUUGUUUUGGAGGGUUAGAAAGAGUGAUGGCUACACAUAUUACCGGCGAAUUGGUGCCUAUGUUGAGAGAAGCUCGAGCUCUGUGGCUUUGACGGUUGACUUUGUCUUUGCCAAAAGUCUUUCAAAUAUAUAUAUAUGUAUGUAUAUUUUAAAUUGCAAGAAUCCUAGGUGGUUAAUAUGCUUAGGUUUGUUUCUUCUCUCCGUAAGUUUUCAAUAUUGAGAGAUAUGCAGGGCAGGAGACAUUUCGUCACUGAUCUCCUUGUUUUUUCUUCUUUGUGUAGAGGAUAAGGUUUUAGGACCCGCAGAUCAUGUAAUUUUGAUCUCUUAAACUCUUUCCGAUCGUAUAUGUUUCAUCCUUUACAAGUUUAUCUUCACAAUUCAUAGAAUUUAGCCAAGCAAAUCAUCAAGUCUUCUUCUUCUUGUUUUAUUGUUAUUAUUCUUAUUAUUACUAUAUUGCAAUGACAUGGUGGUUGCAUAAGAGUGUACGAGUAUAUAUCUCUGGCAUAUAUAUAUAUAUAUAUAUAUAUACGGAGAUUAGUGUGUUUGGAUUAUAAAUUAUUUGAGAUAAUUUUGUGAAAAAAGUACAGUAUACUUUUUUUAUAUAAUGUAUGUGAGAUAAAAAAAUAAUUGAAAAAUGUGUUGAUGAUGCAAGCAAAUCAGUGUAUGUAAAUAAAGUGUAAUAAUUUACAAUCCAAACACACUCAUCGAUAUCAUCAGUGAAAAUAUAUAUGGCUCAUCAUCAUCAAAACCCUAGUGUGAUGAUCAUCAGGAUGAUUAUAUCAUUUUCAGAUUUUAACUUUUUCUGACUAAUUGAAAGAUCUGGAUUGCGGCCGAUGACUAGAAUUAGCCAGUGGUUAAUUACUUUGGUUUUACGUGAUCGAUCGCCUCCUUAGUCCUUCCUUAUACUGUCCAAGAAUAAAUCACAAGAUUAAAAAAUUAAGCUAGUAAAAACUUGAAGAACUAGAACAUAACCGACCAUCAUGUGCUAUCUAAAGCCUAGAAGACUUGCAUCAAAGCCAAACUUAAUCGGCACGAAUAAUAGUUAGUUUAAUGAUCACGAGAUCAUUGGUUUUUAUCUCAAACUUUCUCAUCUUUCCCUUGUAAUUAAGACUUGAAGUCUUCUUUUAAAGUAAAAAGAAGAAGGACAAAGGAAAAAAAAAAAAAAAACACCCGAAAUAUUGAUUCUCUAUCUAGGCCGACUCGGGGGAAUAGAAUAAGUAUCUAGGCAGGCAUAUAGUAAGAUUACGUACCAUCGAUUUGUUAAAAAGCCAGUACAAUUACGGGAAGGAAUCUGCUUAUGUAACCAAAAUUUUAUCCCUACGAUUUUCUUUUCUUGAUUUUGUAUGUGAAUAUGACGUGAAUUCAUAAAUUAUUGCUUGAACAGUGAAUUAUUUGUUUAUAUUAUCAACACGUUUUUAAAUUAUUAUUUUUUAUUUCAUAUGUAUCACGUCAAAAAUAUUACAAUGCUUUUUAAAAAAAAAAUUAUCCCAAAUAAUCUAUUAUCUAAUAACCUCCCAUCACAUACAUCACAUCAACCAAGCUCACUUGUUAUCCACAGUCUAUAAUAUCGUUUUCUGCAAUUCUAAUAGAGAUGAAACACGUCAAAAAAGUCUUCUGCGUGUAAGGUAGCAGCCGUGUGCGGUGCAAAGAAAGAGUAAAGAUUGACAAGCAUCCACACACACAAAGCUAGUUAACCUUAUCCAAUCCCUUUGCUAUUCCCUUUCAUCAGUGUAUGGAUAUUUUGAAGCCUGAAUUGGUGCUAUCGAAUCGACGAAGUUCUUGAGACUGUUGGUUGUCAUCGUAUUAAUGUCCCAAUCUAUUCCAUCGCUCACCAGUUACGAAGCAGUGUACAACAUCUUUAUUAACGUGCCAGUACGAGUAGCACCAUCAAAUCUCAUGGCAAUUUUGAUUUUGAAAAGAACAUUACCAAAUUCAUGCUUCUAAUAAUAUCAGAAUCCAGCAAUAUAGAAAGAGCCAAUAACAAACUGUUCAAGUGAUCACUCGAUUUCCUUUAUCACGAACCUGGAUUUCAAUCACUUUUCCAUCCACUAGAAAAAGAACUAAUGUAAAAAAGAUUAUCUUGCGUCUCAAGUGCUAAUACAAUGACUGCCUUUUUGUCAAAAAAAAAAAAAAAAACUAUGUACUCCCAGAUGCAAGGUUAACAAUACUACACCUUAAAUUAAACCAACUGUAGUUCUAUUUUUUUGGCUUAUUCUUCUUGAAAAACGAUCGAUGGCCUUCCACAAUUAAUAGUGUAAUCAUUUCUUCCUGAAUAUUUGAUGAUCCACUGAGACCGUGGACCAAAUAUAACCCCAGUUGACUUCAAAACUAACCCAGCAUUCCCUCCUUUUUUUUUCUUUUUUUUUUCCCCCUUUGGAAUGCUAUACCGAAUCUACAUACGCCUUGUUUCAUCAUGAAUAAUAGAUAAUUGAUUAGUACAAUUAUGCAUCAUUAUCCGUGAGAAAAUCAUUAUAUACUUUGUCUGAUAUGAGCCCCGUGACGGACAAACAGCAUUAUGAAGUCAGCAGUAACUGUCAUUACGUGAGAGGGUUGGUCAUGAUGAGGAAGAUGAUGAUGAUGAUGACCAUGACGAUGCAGCUUAUGUAAGUGUGAUUAUAUUUCUUCUCAUCGAAAAUUCAAUGUGCGCUUCGGUACAAUCUGCCAGUGGGAUUCAAUGGUUGUCCGCAUCGGUCAAUAAAGUUGUUUGCAUUUUUUUUUGUUAUCGAUACGAUAGACCUACAAUUAUUCUAUGCUAUGAAGAGAAGAAGAUCUGAAGAGGUCGGAGAGAAAUCGGAGGCGAUUGAACCACCUACCGGUCUCGUGCACUCGUCUUGAAGUGGCUUAUCAUAUUUUUGUGCCAGUGAUAGGAGACAAGGUUUGAUCCCCUUAACUCCCCCCUCCCCCCCCCCCCCCCCCGGUCAACUUUGGUGACAGCUUAGCUCGGUGGUUUUUUCUGCGUAACUGGGGUCUUCAUGCUUCCCCUUCCUCCUAAAUAAAAGAAGUAUACUAUUAAUUAGUACUACUAAAUUGACACGGUUGUCACUAAUAAUUUCUAUCAUUAGUGCAACUUUCUUAGUCGAGUAGAAGGUGAUUUUCAACUAAUUUAUUAAUAAUAUUGAUUUCUAUUUCAUUAAAAAAAAAAGAUUGACACAAUUCAUUACUCCCCGCAAGGAAGGACUAGUUGAUUGUUAGUUUUUUUUUUUUUUUUUAAGGAUGCAUUUACUCGAUGAUUUAAACUACUAUAAUACUUGCCUAGGCAAGAUACAUGGCAAAUAAUAGUCGACCCACAUAGGCAAAAUCUAAGUUGGCUGGCGUAAUUUCAUAAUUAGAGAGAUCUGAUUCAGUGCUAAGUUUUGUAUCUGUUCUAUUUGUUUGUUCAGUGCUCUAAUUGUUUUCUAUUCUUUAAGUUGAACGAGAUAAUUAAUUACAAGUAAGCUUGUUCGCGUUAAUACGAGAAGAAUGAAGAGAAAAGAUUAUAAGAAGAUACCGGUCAACUCUUUCUUGGUCGAAAUAAAGUGGCGCAAUUCUACCAGGCUUAAAUACGAGAAUCGCAUUAAAGUUGUGUACCCUAAAGGGCAAAAAAAAAAAGGAAAUAUAGUUCAAAAUAUCCUUUAAAAUCAAGUCAGUAAAUUUUGGUCUCAAUCCAAGUUUCCGACUACUUUUUACCUCGAAUCCAUUACAUGAUUCAUGCAUAGUUAUUUUUUAGGGAUAAAAAAGUUAUAUUUCAUUUGUAGUUAAAUAAAUGAUCCGAUUCAUAUUUAUUUUUACCCCUAAAAAAGUAGAAUAUGUUCCAAACCAUAUUCAUUUUUUCUAAAAGAGUGGGAUAGGACCUAAUACAUAUUCAUUUUUUCACUAAAAAAAUGGAAUAUGACCCUUUUGCACAUAAAAAAUUGUCUACACGUGAGUCUAAUGGCGAUUUUAAGCUAAAAAAUUAUCAAAAAAUUUAGCUGGAACUAAAUUUUAUUAACUUAAAUUUAUAAAAGAUGUGAAUUUAACAUUUUAGAAUAUGAAGGAUGAAAAAGUUCAUUUGAUGAUCUGUAAGGGAUGUUUUGAACAAUUUUUUUUUCAAAAAAAUCUUAAUUGUCUCAUAACGAAGCAAUAAAAUAAUUGUUAAACCAUAUAAUUUGUCAUUUUUUUCAGCUAUUAAUCUUUCCCUGUUUCACAUGUUAUAGAUUAAAGUCCGAUGACACUGGAAACUUGGAGCCCACGUACCUAAGAAAUUUCCUAAAAAGUAAAAAGUAAAAACUGACAAAUUCCUCACACUGCCUGGUUGCUGAUUACCGUUUUAGAAACUUGGAGCCCACGUCCCUAAGUUAUUUCCUAAAAAUUAAAAACUAACAAAUUCCUCAAGCUGCCUUGUUGCUGAUUCGUCUCAGAGAAUCUCUUCUUUCCUAUUACUGGAAGUAUUUGUCUUGGAUUUCUUGAAAUCCUAGGGCUAGGAAAAGUUUGUCGAGUCUAUAAGAAAAUCGAUAUCCCUAAUCAAACAUCUUAGCAGAUUUUAAGCGUCUCCAAAGAGAUUCUCAAUUAAAGGUUCGUUUUCAUAGCAUCGAUUGUUUUCCGUUCUUUGUUCUAAUUUUAGUGCAGGUUCUCCCUGAAACUUAAUUAUCAAACAAAUCAUCAUGGAGACCUUAGAGCAUGUGAAAAAACCAAAAUCACAAAAUUAUUGUGUUUUCAUGCAGGAAAAAGAGAGCAAGAAUGAAGAAAAUCCCCACAAAAAGGGAGAGGAGGCAAUCCCUGAUGGAAUAAUGCGUGAAGUUUCUGUUGGGAAGGGAUUAUCUGGAGCCCUGAAGCUGUUGUUAGAUCAAGGAUAUCUCAAGGAAACUAAAGAAUUGAGUAAUCCGAAAACGGGCUCGAAAACAAGCAAGCUUGGCGGGAUUUAUGAUGAUCGGGGACAAAGGGAGAUAAUCAUUGAGAGAAGAGAUGAGCUUGGAAAUGUCAUGAAUGAAAAAGAAGCUUUUCGCCAACUUUGUUAUAAGUUUCAAGGGAAGAGGCCUAGUAAAACUAAGCAAGACAAGCGUAUGCGGAAGAUCGAGAGGGAGAAGAAUGUGAAGCUAUCGUCCCAGAAUUCUGAAGAAAGUAUGGUGCUAAUGGAUAAUGCUUUGAAGAAGCUUCAAAAACCUUAUCUUGUUAUCGAAGGGAAAAAAAGGGCUACAUGAUGAAUAGUGCCCACCUGUUGGCUCGCAUGAAGGUCAAUGGCCUGAGCACCAAGAUGCAGCUCCUCGCAAGAGCACUAAAACUAGUAAGUUCCGUGAAGAUCUGCAAUGCAAUACCCUGAACUUUAGGAAUAUUCUACUGUCACAGUGCACUUUAUCUACUAUUGGUAAUUUUUCUCUAUUGCUUUUACCAUUUUUUUCAUUUUGUUCAGUUCUGUGCCAACUUUUUCUUGUUUGGGAAUGUUUACUAAAAAUUUUUUCUUUAUUAAAUUGGUGAUACAAGAAGCAUAAAAAUUCUGGCUCCUUUCUGGUAAUGCACAAUUUCUGUUGCAAGGGAACAUUUAGUGUCUUACUAAGCAUGCUACAUUGCAAAAUACAAAGAGUGAUACCUGACGUUUUAUAGGCUGAGGAUAGGCAAAAUUCUGUCUUUUAAUCCCACGUAGUUAGCACAGUGAGCCAUGAAGUCAAGCACAUCCCAUAUCGGUGGGGAAGCACAUUUUUGCUGCUAUUUUUACCAGUAACUGAUAACGUUCAGUACAACAGCAAAGUAGGAUGGAAACAGAAUCAUAAGUUGGAUAUGAAUUUAUUUGUCACAAAAAUUUGUUACUUGCAUCAUAAACACGUUUUUCAAACUUUUUUUAUAUUCUUAACCAUAUUUUUAUUUAACAUACAUCACAUCACAAAAAGUACUACAGUAUUAUUUCAAAUAAUAUUUUCAAAUGAUCUCCAAUCCAAACACACUCAUUCUCAAUGAAGCAAAGUUUAAUGCCUGGUUUCGUUUGCGGGUCGAAUCAGCUGGCAAAAAUCCUGUAAUGCGAUCCAAUAUAAUUAACAACUCAGGUCCUCAAAUCCAGUCCGUUAUCGGUCUACCAGUAAUUGCCUAAUUGACGAGGAAAUUUGAAGCAAAUUUAAAUGGAAACAGAGUGAUGAUCAAAGGUACACCCUUCUAUUUUUAACACCUAAAACAUGUAGACACAAGACACCACAAUUUUGGCCCAGAGAGAGAGAGAGGAAUGGAUGUAGAACAAGGCAAACUGAUAAGGAAACCAUUCUUUUGUAGCAUAAGCUUUAAAUUCUCUUUGUUUCUACCUUGUAUAUUUGUUUCCGCUUUGUCCAGAAACAAAUGGAGCAGUAGUAGAAGAAAGAGAAGCGGACAAGAGAAUUUCUACGAUAAGUACAACACAGGUAACAUGAUCUUUCUUGGAAACUACAUAAUAGCAUUUAUACCUUGUAAGUUUGCAAGAGUACACAUUUAAGGUAAUGCAUCCACCCGAGUCCUGUUGCUUUUGUCCUUUUUAUGUCUGAGUGUAACUGAAUCCUCAUGCCUCCACCCAUACUCUAAAUGCAUACUUUAAACAGAUAAGUGAGAAGCAAAUUUAACAGUCUAAUGAAAAAGAAGAUAAAAACCAGAAUGGGUACUCAUGAGAUAAUCUUUGCAUCUCAAUGUAACAGGUGCUCCUGCAAAGAGAAGCUUAAAAGAAGACAUUCAUACUUCACCAGAUAAGGGAAAGAUUCAAAUGAGAACAUGGAUUGGGUUGUUAAGAAUUAGGAAUCAUUAGGUCCAGACCCAAUUAUCCUUGUAAAAUUCAGCUUAAUUUCAACAUUAUUUUGCAAAUUACAGAGACAGACUGCUUCAGUUACUCGGCUAACAGGGUACAGGCAAGCAGAUCUUGAACGAAAACAGCUCGCCCAGUAGCUUGUCUCAUUCUUUUUUCUCGCUCUUCGUGACUUAAGGAUGACUCGAAACUGCAAAGAUGGUUACAUAGGUGAUAAAGAAAAGUGGUGGAUAGACAUGUAGAAAGAUUGUAUGACAAGAGACAACAGUUGCAGGAAUACAAAAAAGAAACUUGGUAUGCUCUGUUAUGCAUCACGGUAAGGCAUUAUAGACAAAUAAAGAAAGUUCCUCAGUUCACAUUAUCUAUUACGAUUUACUACUGCAAAUGAAGCUUUAUCUGGGAUAAUUCUUUCAUUAAUCCACGUCUUCAUCAAGUCAAAAUGAAACCCAAAAGUCAGCAUUAUAAACUGCCUUUGUUAUUAUGUAAUAAAACAAGACCAAGAUCUUAUCCAGCCCUUCUGCUUUUACUAAAUGAGUCUUGGAAUUGAAAUGAUAGAACUCAUGUUGCUCUGUUCCUUGUAUAUCACAAAACAUCUCAGAGCUGUUUAAUUUUCUUCCAAAAGAUUAAACUCAGGAAAAUAAUGAGGACUUCCUUAAAGGUUUAAGCAUUUUUCGCUUCCUUAGAAAAUUAAUCAUGAAAAACAGCCGUCUGCAGUUACAGAUACAGGAACUCAAAGAUCAUUUCCUGAGCCGGUGAACAACAUAAAGACUCCUUGAAGAUUGAAUACUGAAGCUUAACAAUACUAUCUUGUCUUAUUUUUUACCAUAGUAGAAAAUGUCAUGCAGUUGUAUGGGUUGAAGCCCCUAACCUCCUGAAGUUUUGACUCUUCAAACAAAAAUUGCACUAAGUAAUGGGUGGUCCUAGAUUCAAGCUGUGUAUGCAUGACACCAGUUUUUGAUCCAUACAGGAUUCAUUCAUUCACGCUAACAGAUCGACCAGACAAAGCAUGCUCCAAAUGAAUGGCAAGUUAGCUUUGGGUGCCUAGUGCUCUUACAGUUCAUUGACCUGUCAGCGAAUAGAAAAUGGCAUCUCAAACGCUCAGUAGUCCUCCUAUAAAUCUGGAAGUAAACAAAAGUUGUGGAGGACCAUUGGCCAAAGUCAAGCAAAAUAUGUCUAGAAUAUCAAGUCAACUGAAUUAAAAAGCGGUUCUUUGGUAACUCUCUUAAGCUAUAAACCAUCACCAAGCCAAGUUAAUGGGUGCAACUAAAAUAUUUGUUCCAUUUCCAUUCCUCAUGAUGAAUCAUUGUGGCAAGGGGCGCCAGUUCUACAGCACAUGAAGACUUAUCAAUCAUAACAAGUAGAAUUACAGCUAUAAUAUUUAAGUUACAUCAACGUACUCUUAUAGAUUUUGGAUUUAUUUACUCCUUUCUGCAGUGAGAGAUAUAUUGCCUUAAAAAUUGCAAGCUAUUAAUGCAGGAACUACAAAAUCAACAAACAACCUAGAUAAUUAAUCUUCAUCCAAGCUCUAUCCAGCCCAUCAUUGGCCAAUUUCAACAAGAAAAUAGAGCAACUACUAAAGGUAAGGAAUUAAGCUUUGUGUUCUUCUCAUAGCAUCUCAUUUCCUAUAAAUGGAAUACCAUUAUGCUUAUGCUCCUAGCUGGUUCUUCCAUUCACUUCUAAAACAUACUGUGGCAUGCAUGUAUUCUAGUCGUGGAAACUAUGUGACUUACAGUAAUCUCCAAAUUAGUGUAUAAUAUAGACAUAAACUACUUGAACAUACUGAUUAAGCUACCUCGAUUUCCAUGUAUGCUGUAAUGACAUGGACUUCGUUGAUGUGUCCUCAAUACUGGACACCAAAGUUUUUGAAAUUUCAUCCGCUUCAGAUGCAGGAAAAUUCAGAACAAGAGAAGAAAGUAGUGGAUCAGCCAUUGCACCAGAUGAGGUUGCAUUGUUAGAUCGGUACCCACUGCCACCUAAAAGAACCUGUAAAUGGGCCUCCCUAAGAUCCCUCCCCAGCAGAGAGAGUGCCUGACUACUGGGAACUGCAACUCUACGUAAUCUACGACGUCGCUGCAAGUAAUCUUAAGUUAAAGAAAUAAUGAAAUGAUCGAAGGACGAGCAAAUUGUUCAUUAUAAUGCAGCUUUAACUAUGUAAUGUGAAGGUUUACUAUGAAGCCAAUAGAAUAUGAAUAUAAAAGUUCCACUUUAAAGGAUAUCUUGAAUAAAUGUCCAUGUUGCAACGUGAUAUGACUCAGCAUGUUUCUUGCAACUUUAAUAGAGCAAACUGGACAAACCUGCAAGAAAAAUGUGAAUUCAUUAUGACAGUCUUCAUUUUAAAGUUAAUACUAAAUAAAAAAUAGUAAGUGAUACAAAAAGCAUCCAGAAGAAUACAUGCAUGGAAGACGGAAACUCUCUUGCUGUCUCUCACACUGGCAACCACCCUCUUUUACUAACAAACAGACUAAUGGCGGAGUUCGAUAAAUUGUAUCCCGGAAGUGCUUUUUUUACCAACCUAAUUGUGUAACCCAAGCGCUUAGACCACAAUUGAAGUAUAAAUCCCUGGAAACCAUUAACAUUUCAGUAAAGCACAAGGGGAAAUAGGAAAUUUACUCAACACUACCAUGCAUUCAGGUGAGUCAUUAAACAUAAAAGCACUCCUACAAUGAAUUAUGUCUUUCCAAUUAGUGAAGGAUUUAGCAAACUACAUACUUUAUCUAGCAUUUGAAAAACCUUGACCCAGACUAGUGACAACAGCUGUUGAAGCUGUUUUAACUUGCAACAAGUAAAUAUAUGACCCUAUAGAACACCUCUAGUUUUGGAUUUUUUUCAACACCCCUAUAACUGAUUAGUGGCAAGCUCAUUGCAACUAUAAUAGCCAACUGCAAGAAAGAAAAGAGUUGACAACAAAAUUAAAAUAUUUCCAAAAGAAAGGGUUAACAUGCAUACCAUUUACCAGAUAUUGCGUCCAUCUAGCAAAGUUAUCAUAAUGAUAUGGAAAACAACCAAUAGUCAUAACCACAGUUAGCUUCUUACUGACCAGCAAAACUAAGGAAAAUUCUGCCCUAGACUAUCUCCAAAAUUCUAGCCUAGGAGAGUCAAAUGUCCCCCCACCCCCAAGAAAAAGUUUUGAGAAUCCUUCCCAGCCUUAGGUUUCCACUGUGCUGGUGAUUUAACUCUUCUCCUUCCCUUCACAUUUAAACCAGGUUAUACUGUAGAUAUAGCCUGAAUAGAAUUACCCAAAACUCAUGCCUCUCAUGCACAACAAUGAAAUAUACAAGUUUGAGGAAACAAGAAUAUGAGAAAUGCCCAAAAGGUUUGGUGCAAUUGGUCAGGACUCAGGAAGUCAGAGGAGGUUCAGAUUCAGUCUUCAAACCCACAGAAAGGUGGUUUCAUUAAUUCACACAAAAUUAAUUUAUACUCCCUUCAAUGCCUCAAUCUCUUGCACCCUAACCCCCGCCAAACCAAUGCUUUCGACCCUCAUCCGAACCCCAAAGCAAAAAGGAGCACACCCAAGAAAGGGGGAAAAAGGGUCAAAACAUAUCCUUUGGCAAUAUAUCUGAACCUAACUCUGCUUCCUUAUAUAAUGUGCAGACAAAAGUAUUAGAGCCUAUACAAACCAAAUAAAUACCCAAGAUGGUGACGUCCCAACCUACUAAAUAGAGUCAAGAUUUACUUUUUCACCCAUUUAGCCAACAUUUCCUUCACUAAAAUGGCAAAAAAGACAGAAAUUAGCAGAAUAUAACUCUAAGCUCAAAUUUGCAUGCACCAAUCCCUUUUCAAAUCCUAAAAUCACUUUUUUUUUCAUUUACAGCGCCAAGAUUACCAAAUUUGAACAAAAGUACAACAAAGAUCAGAAUUUGACAACACAAAAGAGAGUGAUCAGCACAUUUCCCAGAAACAAAAAGUAGCAAAUAUUAAAAAAGAAGAAAAAAAAAAGAAAACUCACGGUAACUUUGGACUCGCAAGAAUGCUCAUCUUCAAGAUGUGAGCAAAGGGAUGCAAUAUCAAAGUCUUCGUAACAAUACGGGCAUGGAAAAUCGGGUCGAACCUCCUCUUCCACCUCGAAAUCAUCAAUAUUUAACCGAUCUGAAAAAUUCAACGCGACCAUCCCCACAAAAUAAAGCCAAAACAUGUUUCAGAUCACUCAAAGAAAACACAACAAAUAUUUAUUCAGAAAUGAAAUAUAAAUACCGACCCAAUUGAGAGCUCUGAUGUUGGCUGCUAUGGCUGUGAUGAUGGUGAUGCUGCAAAUUGAAUUGGCGCUUAGCAGCCGCGAGGCGAGAGGUCCAGAAAUCAGAGUCCAUGAAGAGCAAAGGAAUAAAAAUGAAGAAAGAAGAAAAGGGUCCAGCUAAAAUAUGACUAAUAUUUAAGCAAGGUACUAUUCUUUAAAAAAAAAAAAAAAAGUCUUCUACGAAAUAAUUUCCAACUUUUCCAUUCUUCUCUGUCUGUAUGUAUUAAGGUGACAAUGAUCUUGUUUAUUAUGCGUUUUCUUUUUUUUAGUUUGUUUCAAUAUGCUGAGCUUAAAAACCAAUCUGGGGUGGGAUUGUAGUGUUUUAUUUUUGUUUUCCCAGGUUUGAACUUUGAGGUAGUCUUGGUGGCGCACAUUCAUCUCAUCUCUGAGCGGUAUUUGUUAAAAAAAGCAAAGUGAAAGGAGUGGGUGGAUAUGACAGCAAAGUGACUAAAUCAGAAAUUGUCGGAGUUUUGGAUUAGAUUUUUUUUGUGGAUAAUUAUUAGUGGUUUGAGAUUUUUUUUUGUUUUACUUAUUAGCUUGCAUACUAAAAUACAAACUCUCUAAAGCGUUGGAUGUACUAUAAGAUUUGUUUGUGGACCAGAAAUAAUCAAUAUAUGUUUGGUGUGUCAAUACUUUAUUUUUUUAUUUUAUCCUUUUUAGUAGGGAAAGAGUAGAAUAUUUAAAAAAGGGGAUCUCGAGCCCCUAAUUUUUGAGAUUUCAAUUGCAAUCACUAACCUAAAGAUUUCUCGACUUUGUGUGUGAAUACUUGUUUAUAAUGCGUUAUAAUAAUUUCUUUUCAUUGUUCCUUUCAUUUAUUUAUAUAUAAAAUUUUAUAGUAACUCUAUAAAGUUAUCUGACUGUGUCAUUAUUUUUCUUUUAAUAUCUAGAUUAACAUAUUAAAAAUUAAUAUUCUUUUGGGAAUACUUUAACGUUAAAUUUACACAAAGUAUUUAAAUGGUGAAAAAAGAGUCAAAAUUGUAACAAAAUUUAUAAUGAUUAAUCAAAGAGUAAAACUUAGUCAAUUUUGUACAAAAUUUAUGUAUAGUUAGUAAAAGUGAUGAAAAAAAUAUUAUGAAUUAUGUUGAUUUUCAAAAAUAAAUUUUAAAUUAAUUUUAUUAUGAUAUAAUGGAGAGAAAUUUUCUCGAAUGCAAUGGAGAGAAGUCUAAUCCGUUCAUAAUAUGUCAUAUAUGUUCUUAAUUAUGUCAUAGAUGAAGUUUAUGAAAUUUUAAAUCUUUUGCUAUGUUUCAAAAGAAACGUAAUAAAAGUAAGAUUCCUUUUAGAUGUUCUUUACUUAUAAUUUUGUCUCAUAUAUAAUAUUUUAAAUAAGCUGUUUUAGUAACAAUUUUUUUAAAUUCUCCAAGAUGCAUUCUUUAAAAUACGUAAGACAUAUAUUUUUAUUGUGUUUAACUACUAUAUUAAAUAGACAUGAUUUUGAACUCUUUUUUCUAAUAGAAUAUGCUUUUAAUCAAAUUUACACUAUGAUUUUACAUAAAUUUACAAUCGAAAUAUUUUAAAGUCUCUUGGGGAAUUUUUUACUCUAGUACUGAGACUUUUAUAAUAACAAAUUGCUAUUAGAGACUUUAAAAUAACACAUUGCAACAAAUGUUCAACAUAUUUUAGUUUGUCAUAGUAAUCAAAUAAUCUCAGUCAAGUGAAAUUACAUGUUGCGUUAAAAUCAUUAUUGAAUUGAUACUACAAAACUAAAAGAUAUUUUUUGACUCGCAAAACUAAAAGAUAUAAAACAUCAUUUACUUUUGUCUUGGGUAGUUGACUCAUUAAACAAAGGACCUUAUUUGGCUUUUAUAAACACUUAAAAUAUCAUGUUAAUAGAGAUAAAUCAUAUUUGAGAUGGAAUAAGUGCAAUAAUUGAUCCAAGACAACAUAGGGAUUUUUUUUUUUUGUCAAAGAAAAAAGUUGGUAUAAUAAGAUAGGGAGGUCAUGGUAAAAAGAGUAGAAUAUAUGUUAACGACCACAAAAAAUGAAAAAUAGUUUUUGCCCUCUUAAAAGAUACACUAAGGAAAUUUUAAUCAUAUCUCAGAAGUAACAAUCGACAUUUGGAUGGUAAGUUUUUGCAAAAAAAUUUGUUACACAUAUUUUUUUAAUUAUCUUAGAUAUAUUAUAUUAUGAGUAAAUCUUAUAUACACUAAUGAUAUAUAUAUUAUUACAAUUGGAUACACGAUACAUAUAUUAUGUGUCAUAUAUUUAAUGAUAAAAGUGUAUACACUGUUAGCGUAUAGAAGAUUAAUCUUUAUAUUAUUACACAGUAUAUUUGUCUACAAAAACUCAAAAAACUUUUAAAUUCAAAUGGGUUCGCCAAUUCUCGUCCAAGCGAUUGGUCCUUGAAACCCAGUGAAAAGAUGCGGGAGGUCCAAGAGUUGGGGCCCAACCUAACAAAAAGAAAAAAAAUAAAAAACUGAUAAAUUUCAAGAACUCAAAAUUACGCAAAGUCAUAAGCAGGAAGAAUAACUAGGAACUAGAAGUGACUUUUACGACGUCGUACAAUUUGGUUUCAGUUUCCGUUUUGCUUUUAACCGUCGCUUGAUCGCCCAAAUUGGGAAUCAAAUCCUCUGUCCCUUCAAUUGCCUCAAAAUUAGGGUUAGGGCUUUUUCCUCCUCGUUCUAACAGAAGCCCCUACGCCAAAACCCCUUUCUAUAUCCCUCUUUCGACAACCAACAUCUCAUCUCAAGUCAAUGGCAAGCAGAGGCCCAGCAACCUAUCAACAUUCCAGGCGCGGUGGCGGUGGCGGCGGCGGAGCAGGAGGAGCUAAUGCUGUUGCGAAGCCGGGAUUAAGAAAACAGUGUUUGUAAAGGUGGAUCAUUUGAAACCUGGGACAGCUGGGCACACUUUAACUGUUAAGGUCUUGGAAUCCAACACUGUUCUGAAUAAAAAGCCCCGAAACCCAUCGUCGUUUCGUGGUCCAUCGUUCCAACAACAGCAGCCCAGUCGCAUCGCUGAGUGUCUUGUUGGUGAUGAAACGGGAACUAUUCUCUUCACUGCCCGUAACGAGCAAGGUCCAAUCUUAAAUUUUUUUAAAAGGUUUUAGAUGAUUUAUCUAUUUAUUUAUUCUUUUGCUUUUUCCCCGGUAUCUCUCUCUCUCUUUUUUUUUGGGGGGGGGGGAGGUGGUGAGGUGCUUGGUUAGUUCUUGGGUUUGGUGAAUUACUUGCCGGUCUGAAUUUAAGGUGGAUUAGUUCUUGUUGUACGGUAUGGAGUCAAGGAAAUAAUUAGUACUCGGCGGAAAGGAGACCGAAUAGGUGUGCACCUUGGUUCACUCGGUGCAAAUUUAGUAAUAUUUGAUGAUAUAUUCAUUCAAAAUUUUUACUUUGUGCGUAGACAAUGUUUCAAAUGUGGGAAAUUACAAUAUGAGCUGUGUAUGUUGUGCAAGAUAUCUGAAUGUUUAAACACUGUUUUCUGAUGAUUUUUUCACGCUGAAAUGUCUUUCGUUUAAUGAGAAGAUAUGCAUCCUUUGAUUUUCAGACCUAAAAAGAAAUAAUAAUAAUGUCACCAAAAGCUCAAACUUAGACGAGAAGGGCUGAAUUUCUCUUGAAUUUAUUUUGACUUGUCGGGUUGUUAUGUUGUUUGUCAUUUUAAGGUCCUGCUUGAAGGGUUAGGUGCGCUAGCCGUAGAACUUCUGAUGGUGCAAUACAGCUGAUAGUCUUAAACCUUAUGUUCCUCCCUGGUUGUCAGCGUUUUUUAGGCCAAUUUGGUGAGGUUAUGUUAGGGGGCUAUUUGCGACUGAACUAGAUGUCUUUCACAUUAUACUUGACUAAAUGGACCGAAAAAUUUAUGAUUUUCACUUUGUUACCAUCUUACGUCCCCAGCAUAAUGGCCGCAGUGUUUGUGGAAAUGGUAUUAAUUUGUAAUGCUUCUUGCAUUUGUGUUUUCAAUUUGAAGUGCUUGAUUUCUAGAAUUUCAUCCCCUUGUUUAUUCUAGUGGGGUUAUUUACUUUCAUGGCCAUUUAGGGGACUACAUACUUGCAGCGGCUAAGUGAACAUGUUGCUUUGUCAGCUUAUUAGAAUAUAUGACUUACUUUGAAGGUUGUGUUCUUGUGCUAAAAGAGUUCUAGGCAUUUUAUAAAUUGUUAACUUCUAGCUAGAAGAAGAGUGAGCUUCCUGACUGUUUUAUUCAUUGCAGUUGAAUUGAUGAAGCCAGGCAAUACUGUCAUCCUUCGCAAUGCAAAAAUUGACAUGUUCAAGGGUUCGAUGAGGCUAGCUGUUGAUAAAUGGGGCCGCAUUGAGGUGACAGAACCUGCAAAAUUUGCAGUUAAAGAAGACAACAAUUUGUCCUUGGUAGAGUAUGAGUUGGUGAAUGUAGCCGAAGAAUCUUGAAUUUGUUUCAUCAUUUUCUGUCACCAAGUCUAUUUUGGGUAAUGAUUUGUUUGUCUAUGGGUAUAUUGGUAUACAAGCUCACUCAAUCAGUAGAUUAUUUUCUUAUUAUUAACAUGUGAUAGGACUAAUCUAAUAUUAUAUGUUGUAGUUUGUAUGUUAAAAAGAAUAUUAACUGACUCUGCCUGGCAAGAAUGUGGACUGCAGAGAGUUUGCCAAGUUGUGUUUAAUUCAGUUUUUGUACUUCUCUCCAAGUUGUGCUGCUUCAAAUUUUUAGUUAUCCUUUUUCUUUUACUGUUUUGGUGGAGUGAAAUUUGCUAUUUUUGUUUUUCAUUUGCUUUUGUGUUUGUAUCAUGUUAGCUUAUUUCGGCGCUAGAUUCUAACAUCUCAUCUGAAGGAAGGGUUUCUGCACCAAUAGAUAAGCUGCAUUUAGUUUUUUCUUUGCAUCCAUCGACUUACCUCAGACUUUGGAGUUACUGAUGCUCAUUUGAGUCUUGGCGGCCUCCUUGGAGUCUUGUUUGUAUGCUCAUUCGAGACUUUGGAGUUACUGAUGCUCAUUCGAGCAUUGGAUCUGAAACAUGUUGACUUUUAAGAGUUUUAUAGUGGGCAUUUCAGUGUAUCAUGACCUUUGCAUCACCGCAGAAUGGCCAAAAUAGUCAUUAAAUUAGUCAAAAUGGCAUGAGUUGGUUACUCAACUCCUUUUUUUGGCUAAAAAGGUUUACUCAAUUUCCUAAAACGAAUCAUUUAGACCACUUUUUGCUAAAUUAACCUGAAUUGCAAGUUUUUAGGGGCAAAAAAAUGUUCAAAGAAUGCCACCUCGCUCUCCUCUCCAUUCUUGACGUAGCAAGACCCUCUGCCAACUUGUGUCACCUCCACCACCUUCUCCCCUCUCCCUCCUCUACCACCUCUCAUGCCACCAUCACUCCCCUCUUCCUCCCUUGUCUCCUCCUUCCCAAUCAUCACCACUUCCUCUUCCUCUUUUCUCCCUUCCGCCCCCCCUCUCCUCCUUCCCCUUGCACCCCCUCUCCUCCCUUCCCAUUCCCUUCUUUUCCUUGCUUCCCUCGCGACCAGGUCUGGUUGCUGUGACUAGAGAGGGUGUACCAGAGGGUUAUGCGAUAGUAGCAGCGGGUGAAAGAGGAAAAAGAUGAUGUGUUGAUGGUUUUUUAUGUUAAUUACAUUUUCCUCCUAUGAAGUUUUGCUAAAAUUUGGAUUAACUCCUAAAGUUUGAUUUUUCUUUUAAAAAAAUUGUCAAUUAGAUAUUGACAUUUUUAAUGUUGGAAACCCACAAUAAUAGGUCAAGUUUGCUUUUUUUCCUAUUGAUUUAUUGGCUAAAUUGGUUAAAUUGAUCCUAAAGAUUCGUUUUAGGAUAUUGAGUGAUCUCUUUGCCCAAAAAAUAUUCAAUGACCAACUCAUAUCAUUUUAAAUAGUUUAAUGAUCAUUUUGACUAUUUACUCUUGUAUCACCACCUUAAGCUACUUUUGAUUGAAAUUGCUGGAGAGUAUUUCCGAUAAUACACACGAUGAUAUUAGGCAAUUAAUUGAUUCUUAAAUACGAAUGAUCAUCUUGUCAAAGGUGAUUAUGCGAAGGUAGGCAAGACUCCUUGCGAGGAAAAAGUCGACCAUAAAGGUCAUCAAAUCCUAGUUACAAUCGGAACGUUUUUCAGCGGGGAAAGGAUGGACGCCUAUGCGCGACAAAGCACAACCUGCGGGUUUCUGUAGUUAAGCAUCAAAUAUUCUAUGUCAAAGAUGGUGCCAUACCUUUACUCUAAACAUAAAAAAGCAAUGAGCACAAUGUUUCUGGAAUAUCUGAUCAUGGAAAGACAGCUCUAAAAUUGCCCCACACGAGUACCUUGAAAAGCCCCAAUCCCCACAAAAGGAACUUGACUCUACAUCAAGAAUAAACAGGAAAAGAAAUAACCCUAGCAUUUUCAGAAUAAAGGAGGCAUAACAAGCUGCCCUGGAAAAGACAAAUGGUUCCUCCUUGUUUAGGAGGCUACUUUAAGACUAUCAUAAACUAGGUUGACCUUUGAAUUGAACAAGCAAAAUAAUUUCCCUACAGAUGGUUACACUUUCCAUUGACAUCCAUGGAAUUAUGACGAUAAUGCACCGCAAUCCAAAUCACUGAAACAGUCAUCCAUCUACAACAGAAGAAAAAAUGGAUCUUAUACACGGUCAUGUAAAUGAAUAGAUCCCUCCACAAGAAUGAAAAGCUAGAAGAUGCAACGAAAACAUGAAACGUGUAUCAAAGUUGGUCAUUAACUGAGUCUUGUAAAGAUACUAUACUAAUUUUGACACGGAUAAGACAGAAAGAUCAUAAGAAAAUCUUCAUGCCGAAUGUCAACCAAUGAUCAGUAAUCACAGCCCUAAAAAGAAAAAAACCAAGUCACAAUAAGUCACAAAUAUGGAAACUCUGCAACCAAAAAAUCUUAAUCAUUUAAGUUGCAACAGGAAUAGAACAACUAGUUUCAUGACUAUGCUAAAGUGAUUGGUAACAUUCCCAGUCAUGAAUCCAGAUAAUGACAUGUUGACCUGUACACUUCUGCAACUCUUUGCACCAUUAUAGGUUGAUAUCAGACUAAUGAUAUCUUUCCAACAGUUAAAACCAGUAUUAGCGAUCCAAAUCAAGCAAGGAGAAAAAUUUCACAUUUCCUAAAGUAUAUAUCAAAUAAUCUUCUUAAUCUAGUCUAUACAGAACCUCUCUAAAUUCAUUGCUGAAAAUGUAAUAAAACAUGGCUCCCAGAAAACAAACUUGACUAAUGUCACAUUUGUAGUUUUACACAAAGUAAGGCUAGCACUCAAAAGAAAACAACAUCUAGAAUAAUAUUAUUUCUCCUCUGGAGCUAAUCCAGUGCUCUCUCCUACAGCACAUGGAUAAAAACUUCGCUUGGACAUCCAAUCAUCAUACAUCAUCGUUGCAAUCUGAGUGAAUACCAUGUAUUAGCAUGAUCCUUAUAUGAUCAAAUAACUGCAAUGGAAAAGGUAAAAAUUAUACACAAAACCAGAUUUGGUCCCUCAGAUGAUUUGAUUCUGUUAUUGCAUUGCUCAAAUAUGAUAUUUUACUAACCAUUAACAUGAAAAAGCAACAUUAGAGCAAAUCUGUUGGCAUUGUAAUAGAAGGAAAAAAAAGAAAUGACUAAUGAAGAGCAUCAGAUCCAAUAUUUCUUUCGACUUUUACAACCCCUAAACCAAAUCCACAUAAUGGUACAACAGUUAACAUACUCAAGGGACAUAUACCUACAUGCUUUCAUACUUAAAUAUGACCCUAUGGUGUUCUUGGAUCCUGAUCCAUAAGUUGUAGGAAAUAGUCUUCCAUAAUGCGUACUAAAGAUAAACUUUUGGAAGGGAAGAAAGAAGUCCUAUUAAAUUUUAGAAAUGAAGCUCUCUCACAAGUUGCAGAAAACAAUGAGAAAAUACGUCACAGUUCAAUGUAACAGAAAGAAAUCCAAAUCACUGCACCUCCUUUAAAAUCUUCAUCUAGUCCUCUCCUGCCCUACAAGAUGAAAAAGAAUAUGCACUCUUUUAUUUCGAGAGGGGAGGGACCACAGAAUACUAAAAUAGAAUGAAGAAAAAGGCCCCACCAGCAAAUUGUGAAAUUAAUACGCGAUUUACCUAACUUCAUCCCAAGGGUUAUCCACAUUAGAACCCAAAUGUACUUGACAAUAAUAUUUAACAUUCUCAAGUAUGUCUUUUUAUACUUAAAGAAAGAAUCUAAAUUGGGAUCAUGUCCCUCUUUCAAAAGAAACAGAUGGACAGAGUUCCAAAAUCAAAGAAUUGAGACAAUUUAAAUCCUCCAACAGUGAAAUUUCUUAACAACCUGCUACCUUGCAGCCAUAUCUCUAUCUCACGAAGUCCAGGUAACUACAUAAAGACCAAAUCAAAGAAAAUCAAAAGAAUAGAUCCAGAAUAUAUGCAAUAAAAUACGGAAAAGAAAACAACCACUUUAAAAUUUGGAAAGGUAUAAAGACCAUUUACUCAAAGAAAAUGGGAUCACAACUUUGACAACCAAUCUCCAGAUUGCAGAUAACUUUGAAAAACUUCACUAGAUUAUUAUAGAGAUGAUAAGAAAUAUAACAAGCAUUUUUUUUUUCUUAUUCUUUGCAAGGAAAAGGUUUGGAUGGAAUUCAGAUCAUUAGAAGUGAACCGUCAUCCUAACACAAAAGAGUGCGAAGAGCUUUAACACCACUAGGUUAUUUCCAAUCCAAGAGCAAAUGAAAACACAAAUAAUUACGAUUAAAUUAACUCAAUUAGAAUAUCACCUUCAAGAGUCCAACCGUAGCUCCGCGGCGAAACGGAAAGCAUUGAAGUUAGCAAUGCAGAAGCUGUUGCAGUGUGAUAAGGAAGCAUCGAUUCCACGCUAACACUGCUCAUUUCAACUGGUGACCUAGGAAUACAAGUACAUGGGAUUAUUUACCCAAACGGUGCUUCUUUAUUGAAAAGUAGAAAACCUUGCUGGUUUUUAUAGAUUUCCAAAACCAUGGAAGUUUACUUAUGUUAUCCAAGACAAAAAAUUUAUUUCUUCUUCCCUUCAACUAAAUUUAUCUUGGCACCUGUUCCUUCAACAAGCCCAAUCUUCACCCUCUGCCUUCUUCAACUGAUGCAAUCUUCUGCCUCUUCCUUCCUUUCUCAUUCUCUCCUUUCUUAAUCAGUAUCGCUUUUGCCCUAUGCGCCUUUUUUCACUAAAUUUUGUUUCCUCUUUCUCCGGCUAUUAUAACUGCUCUGCUAUCCUUCAAGGGAAAUUUUGCAAGUGUUGACUGCCUCAUAAGUUAAAUUUUGCCUAAAUUUUGAAGAAUUAUUCAUCGUUGUGGGAGGUUAUAAAUAAGUCCAAUGAGCAGUGUGCUUGAGUUUGUAACCAUCAUGUUCCGAGAAGAUUAAUUUUUUACUCUGUGAUCUGUUGUUUCCUUGGCUUUCUUCUGAUAAGAAUAACAGUUUUACAGCCCUCUUUCUCGUAAUCUGGAAUCUGUUUUUUUUUUUUCAUUUUUCAUGUAAUGUAUCAUGGGAAUAAGAUCAAGUGAAGGCAGGCAGCAAACCUGUGGAAAAUGGAAAUCGACUUCCUCUUCAAAAUCCACUUCUCAAACUACUUAGAAUUCGCCUUCUGAGGAGCCGGCUUCAUACAAAUAGACUUUAAAGAGUCGACUUCUAUAUUUUUUUUAACUCUAUUAAAACCAAAACCUCAAUAGUAAGAUAAAUAGCCCCACGUACAAUCACCACACAAGAACAUAUCCCCAUCUUCUCGUUCGAGAAUUACUGAAUGCUGAGUAAACAUAAUGCAGAAAUUAGAAAAUUAAUUGCGAUUAAAGUUUUAAUACCUGAAGAAGCGAGCGGAGAGGGGUUUUUGAGCAGGGAUGCGGAAGGGGGAGGAAGAGGGCUUCGGCUUGGCCCCAGUAACCACUUUUGCCGCCACAGUCCGGGCAGAAGUGGUGGCGGAGCGAAGCAUAGUCCUACUGGCGAUGGCGGCCAUGGAUGGGCGGCUGAACGAAGAGGAGUGAGGACGCCGAAGAGAAAUGGGAGAGAGAUGGCCCUCUUUCGCACUGCACCCAGGGUUUUGGGAUCUGGAUUUUGGGGGUUUAAGCCAGAAAAGCCUUCUCACCCUUAGAUUUAAAAAAAAAAAAAAAGAAAAAAAAAAGAAAAGGGGAACUGGGCAAGCCAGUAACCAACGCAUUUACCAUCUCAAUCUAUGGACUAUGGCUCUACAACUUUGAGCCCAAUUACCGGCUGCUAAAUUAUUAUAUUUUCCUAAUUACUUCCCCCAUAAAAUUUGACUAUGUGCUGUUGUCAGCUUAUUCUAAUUUUGUAGAAUUAUUCUUGAAAAUCAGAUUUUUCAGAAUAACUUAAGUACUCUCGUUUACUGUUAAAAAAGCUAUUUUAAUAGAUGCAUAGGUAUUCUCAAAAGAAAAAAUUAAAAAGCUGAUUUUGACAACAAACAUAACCAUUUACCCUUAUAUGCUACAUAACUGAAUUUUUGUACUAAUCAAAUAAUUUUUGAUGUAAUUAAUUAAUUUUCCCAUGAAGAUUAAACGGUAGAUGAGUAAAACAAGGGACAUAGAUGAAUUUGGAAGUGAGAUAAGAAUAGAAAGAAAAUGGGAACAUCAAAAAAAGUUAUCUAAUUUUUAGAUAAUUUAGUAAUUAUGUUAAAAUUUGAAGGAUAAUUUUGUCUAUAUGAAAAAGUACCUUACGACCCGAACCUGAUUUUCAGCAUUUCUUUGGCCGAAAAAAUAUGUAAAAUCAGUUUUUAAAAUUAGUUGAGAAUAGAACAAAAUAGUUUUUCAAAAAUCAAGUAAGUCAAGGGACUUUAACCAAAAUGAAACUAAAAGAUUAUUUCAUUCUUAAUAGUUAUUUAAUUAAUUGUUGGUUUGGAACAUACGCUGGAUUGGAAUUAGGGCUGCAAACGAAUCGAGCCGCUCGCGAGCAGCUCGAGUCGAGCUCGAGCUCGAACUCAAGCUCAGAAUAUUAAGCUCGUUAGCUCGCGAGCCGGCUCGCGAGUUUGAGUAUAUAUAUAUAUAUAUAUAUUUUUAUUUAAUAAUAAAAUUACGUAUAUCGCGAGCUUGAGUAUAUAUAUAUAUUUUUUUUAUUUUUUUAUUUAAUAAUAAAAUUACAUAUAUUAUUUUUUUUUAUUUUUUUUUUCAUAGUAAAAUUACGUAUAUAUCCUUAAUAUUUUAUAUUUAUUUAUGAAAAAAAAUAUUAUUUUAUUUAUUUUUUAAAAAAUAAAAUAAUUAUUUUUUAUUUUUUUCGAGCUCGAGCUUGAAAAUUGCCGGCUCGUCGAGCUUGGUAAAAUUCAAUCGAGACUCGGCUCAAUUAGCUCAAAGCUCGACUCGACUUGGCUCGGCUCGUUUGCAGCUCUAAUUGGAAUCAAGGAUGUUUGCUUUAAAUUUUGCGCAAGAUAAUUAAUUCUAAAAUGUGAUUACAAGAUAAAAAAAACUUUUCAAAAAUCAAAAGGUAAAAUCAGGUUUUCCAAAAUCAGUUCAAAACUUGGCUUAUGUAAAUCAAGGCUCAUGCCACUAAUAAAUAAUCCUGAAUACCUUCUUGCGUUGUAUAUAAAGAGAAAUUUACAUGCUCUUGCAAUUUGCAUCAAGCGUAAUUAGAAAUACAAGGCCAAGAAGAUAGAAACAAAACGUGCAUAAUUGCAUUCUGAUGAAGAAAAAUAUAUGUAGUUGCGUGUUACUGGCCAAAUGAAGAUGAAGAAGCAAUUAUACAUGCUGACUAAGGAAUAGGGUUGGAAGGGUAGCAAGCCACUCGAUCGAUAUUCACAUCAAACUUGACUUGGUUGGAGUUCAUUUAAAUUUAUUUCGCCAACUUAUCAAACCAACAUGUAUAAUAAUUGUGUCUGGUACAAUUUGUUAAAAUGUUCAAAUUUAUUUUAAUUAGCAUAACAUAAAAGAGUUAUGAAUCAAUUUUCCGAGAUAUUAUCAUGGUGGUAAAAAAUCAAAAAGGAUUUGGGCCUUCAAAUGUCAACGAUAAAACUCACAAUUGACAACUUUUGGAGACCCUUAUCAACGUUCCGACGAUUUCCCUCUUCAACACUCUUCAAGAAAUAGUGCACAGGCAAAAGCUACAUAACACAGUCUAAUCUACUAAUCAGCCAGAAUAAAGAACCAAAGCAGACUUGGAACUCCGACAAUGCUUCAACCGACUAGAAUUGUGAACCAACUUUUCAUGGUACAAACGAAGAAGGAUUUGAGCCUCUGCAUGAUAUAAGAGAGUUUGUAUCUUCUUAAUGAUUCGCGCUUUCUCCCUGGCUGUCAUACCAAGUGGUAGGCUAAAAUCUCUCAGGUUUCGGCUUUGUUAGCGUAUUGUUAUUGUAGUGAACAUGAAUGUAAACUCAUAAUAAGAGGAAAGUCUCGUUCUCAGCUAGUGCUACUUGUGCAGCCUGCUAAAUUUUAAUCCCAUCUAACUAUAUUUUGCCUAGCAUCUGGAAACAGGAACGAGAGGCACCACUGCCUCUUCUUACAAUCAACUGGUGAAAAGUAGUAACAAUAAUCUACCGGGUCGAUUGGUCUGACUGCUAGACAACUUGCCGAUAGUAUCAGAAAACGAAAGUUCAGUUGAAAUCAAAUUCUCAAGGCAACGCCAUUUACCUAGCAUUUACAGCUUGCAAAGCUGUGCAGCAUAUUGAUAUUAGUGCUAGCAAACAUAUAUAUUCCAUUCUUUCAAAGGUUCAUUUGGUGAUGGCCAAAAUUAAACAAGAAAAAUUUGAUCAGGUAUCACCUUUAAGCAAGUUUUGCUGAAAUGAGCUGGCUUGGCAUGUCAAAGCUUUCCUCGAAUUCAAACCUUUCUUUGCCACUUGACAGUAACGAUAGGUCUUGCUACCCAAGGACGUCAACUAGAUAUGCCUCGCUUUUUUUUUUUAAACCCUUCAAAAGAGUACCUGUUGAAAGAUUAUUGAUCGCUAAUCAUGCAAUCUUUUCAGUACCUUAUGGAAGUAGACCUCAAGAAGCUUCAACUAGUCAUCAUGACAAGAAGCAAGUUGCUGAUUUUGAAAAGUUUUUAUAGAACAAGUACCACGGUACUACACCAUUAGGACAAUCAGUUAACAAAGUGACACAGAGACCUUUCUAUGCCAAAAGUGGAUUCGAUCUUUAUGGACUAUUGUAUAUUGAGCCAGAUGGCAAACCUUCAACAACUUUCAAAUAUGGAGACAUAAGAACAACUGAUAGAAUUACUGGGUAAUGCUGUAAUUUGUUCGAAGCAUACUACUUCUAAUUGUUAAACAAACAUACGGUUGCUGCUAAACAAAAUGACUAGACAAAAAAUUUGACCGCUCAUCCGUAUGUGCUGCUGGCAAGAUACCAUUUGAGAAAAUCGGGUUGAAAAAUGAUGAUGAUGAGAAACCACGAGAAGGCAUUUUCGUAGAGUUGUCCCUAUCACGCUGAGACACUGCCAGAGGUUUAAGUCUCAGGUUGGUGUUUCAAAGUGCGAGUAGCCAUCUAUUUGGUGCCCCAAUCACCUGAAAGAACUAGUGAUCAUCAGCUUAUGAGGUUGAAUCAAUUCAGUGAACAUCGUGAAAUUGUGGAGUCUAAAACCAGUUAUUCUCCUUAAAGGCCACUGAUCCCUUUGUCGGCCAUUCUUCUAGUCAAUCAUCCUUGUUGAAAUUACCAUUACAUAUAUAUAUAUAUAUAUAUAUAUAUAUAUAUUCAGAGAACACAUUCUGGAAAUGACUAAAAAGUCAUCACCUUCCUGAUCCAAAAACUUCAAAUGCAGAAUUUCCGAGGACAAAGUAAUCUUUAGAAAGCUUUCCCAUGUUGAAUUUAAGAAAGGAAAUUUUGCAACUGCUGUGGGAAACAGUGGCGGAGUACUUUAGAAUUGAACAUGUCAGGAAAAAAUUUAAAUUGUUUCACCUCCUUUUCAAUCUUCAGCUAGUCCUCUCCUUCCCUACAAGAUGAAAAGAAUGCACUCUUUUUAUAACAGAGGUGGGGAACAAAGCAGACAAAGAAUUGAGAAAAGGGAGGAUCUGGACAGAAAUUUAAGAUGCAGGUAUUCGAUAUUCAAUUCCUUCAUUCUUGAAGAUGAACCUAAUAGUUUAUAUAUUGGGCUUGAAACACGAAGUCUGAAAAUUUUUCAGAGUACAUAUUUGUCUACUUGAAGAAAGAAUCUUUAUCAAAGGAUCAUAAUCCUUAACUACCUAUGAACACAUACAUCAAUUUCACAGAAUUCAGAAAACAAAAGCAACUUAAACAGUCUAAACCCGAGCAACUUGGGACAUUCUUAACAAUCUGCAACCUCAACGCUGCCACAUCUCUAUCUUAUGAAGUCCAGAUAACUACAAAAAGGCAGAGACGAGACAAAAGUAAACCAAAAGAGAAAAAUCCAGAAUGUGUUUUACAUGCAAUGAGCAACAACGCAUCAAAAUGAGAAAACCUGAACAUCCCAUCGAUUAAAGGUUCAUAUAUAAAAGCUCAGAAUCACCAAACUGUCAACAAACAAUCUGAAAAGGAUAACUGCACGCAAAAUAAGUCCUCUACUUCUUUACAAUAGUUAUUCAAAAAUCUGUAACGCUACAUGGUACUUAUUCAAUCGUACUAAAAGUUUCCUAUGUGACUCACGUGGCAGAGAUUGUAGUUCUCGUAGAUUCCAUUUGUAUGGAAAAACAUACAUUAUCCUUUCCACAUUUGCCAAAGACAUAACAAUAAUCCCAUAUAGUAAUUCAACAGAAGAAAAAGAUCCAUAAUCUUGUACAAACAAAUCAAAUAUGAAUUAUCAAUUGACAUACACUUAAUUUCACAAAUUACCAUCAAGAGCCCAAUCGUAACUCCGAGGAGAAACGGAGAGCAUCGAAGUCAGCAAUGCUGAGGCGGUUGCAGUGUGAUAUGGAAGCAUCGAUUCCAAGCUAACGCAGCUCAUCUCAACCGGCGAUCUAUAAAUUCAACCACACAAAAACAUAUUUCCCAUUUCGUUAGAUACUAGUAUUAUACCGAGUGAAUAAGUGAACUCAAAUUAAAUUCACCUGAAGAUGCGAGCGGAGAGGGGUUUUUGAGUGGGAAUGCUAAAGGGGGAAAAAGCGGGCUUGGGCUUGGCACCAGUAACUACUUUUGCCGCCGCAGUACGGGCAGAUGUAGUGGCGGAACGAAGCAUAGUCCGAGCGGCGACGGUGGCCAUGGUGGCGGAUUAACCAAACAAACCUGAAUUAGUAGGGUUUAGACUAUUAGAGAAGUGGCCGUCUUUCGAACAAGUCCAGGGUUUUGUGGGACUGACAACAGGGGAAUAUACUUUUCUUUUCUUUUAUCUUCUGUAAAUCUCAUCACUAUUCGUAGAAGAUCGAAAGGAUGUUUAAUUCCGGUUAAGCCCUUCAAAAUAUGUUUAUUUAUCAAUUAAACCGUCUCAACAUACAGGUUUGCAGUUUGGUCCCCCAAUAUAAGAGGUCGUGAUAAUUGCUAAUUAGCCACCUUAAACACUAGCUUUCUACUUUCAGCCCCUGAAAUUAUUGCAGUUUUAUCAUUCUAAAUGUCAUGCCACCUUGGCCCCUUCGAUAGGCUUGUAAGAGCAGUAGCACUAAAACAAAGAAACAAGUUUGAAGGGCAAAUUUGUAGGCGCAUCAAGUUUAUUCAUGGUUGCUAGAAAGAUUUCGAAAAUGAGCAGGCGUCUAAUACAUUCAGGAAGUGAGCAGUUGUGUGCUUGAGCAUUUCAAAGAUGUUUAGAUCCUCAUCAAUCUUCAUUUUUUGCUAGGAAAGAAUAUAUUUUUGCUACUAACUGAAAAUCUUUAGUGAGAAAGCACCAAAUGAAAGAUUUGUGAUAGCUAAUCCUCCAAUUCCGAUACCUAACAUGACUCAACAAUGAAGUGAACGGGACUCGUCUAGGUAAAAUUCUCAGCAAAGAUGUACAGAAUUAUCCAUCAGGAACAUCAAUCAACCCUUGUCUUAGAAUGGAUUACCAAUAAAGAUGCUAGGCCAAUCAUAGUAUUAUCUUGAGGGUCUUUUAAUUAUUAUCAUCUUCUCUAUGGCAUUUGCAACCAUUGGAAACAGAGAUCUCUGUUAAUCAAAUCAAUCUUCGGGUAAAUAAUUUCCUGUGCUGUCUGAGGUAGACUGCUCUUGGAAACUCCGAGCUUCUCCGUUCCCAAGUCUUCUUCCAACAAGUCACCCUAGGACAUUCUGAUAUUAGAACAAUGAUGCUGUCAAACAGUUCUAUUGGAAACCAAACAAAAGCUACCAAGAAAUUUCAAGUACUAAGACAAAACCAAAUUGCGAGAGAGCUCAGCUCCAAGCAACUUCAUUGCGGUAAAAUGCAAACUCUUCAACACUAGAGCUGGCUAAGGUAGUAUGAAUAUGUAAUGUUGAUGUUUUGAUUACAGAAGCAUGCGAACGUAAGAUCAGAAACUGGAAAGAAAAUAUUCACUACUACAAAUGUGGAAUUUGGUUAACAAGUACAUCAGCGUAAAGCCUGGAAGAUAAAAAUGAUGAGAAACUAGGUGUGGGCGCUUGUGUAGACAAUAAUUCUGCCGUUGCUGCAGGUAUUACCCGAGAGUUCUCCACAGCUCAAAGUCCCAUGGUGAAGUUUCUGAGUCCAAGUGGCUGCCUAUUUGGUGCCUCAAUAACCUGAUAUAAAAUAUCGAUCAUUAGCUAAAAUGAGCUUAAAUCAAUUAGGAGAGAAGUAUUACUUUUCCAGAGUUUAAAAUCAGCAGUUCUCCAGCCGAAGGUUGACGAUUCAUUUCUCAUUUAACUUGUGAAUUAUGCGUAUUACACUACCGUUUCAUACACCAGCAGAAAACACAUUUGAAGUGGCCUUAUGGUAUUAUUGCCUUGCCAUUCCAAAAACUUUCAAAUGCUUUUCGGUUGAUAAUCAAACUUAAGAAGCCUUGCUCAUAUUGAAUAAGUUUUCCUGAAAAAUGAUACUAGAAAACACUGGCAAUGUACUUUAGAGUUAAAUAUAACAGAAAUGAAUUUCAAUCAAUUCACCUCCUUCUGCCAUUCAAGGUAAAAUGAGCACACACUUUUAUUUCGGGAGGGAGGGAUAGAGAAAACGCAGAAGAGUGGGAGGAUCCGGACAGAAGCUGAAGAUAUAAAAUAUUGUAUUCGACAUCUUCAUCCUGAAGAUUAUCUCCUUCAACACAUUCAACUUCCAAAAGAAAUCAACGAGAUGAUGUAAAUUCUAGAAACCAUGGACUUUCUUAACAAUCAGUUACCUCGGUCUAGCCAUAUCUCUGUCGUUAGUGAGUCCAGAUGAUUCCCAAAGGGACCAACAAUGGAAGAAGAAAAGAAUUACUUACAUCCAGGACGUAGCCAACAGGAAAGGAGAAACAGAACCUUGAAAAGAGACAAGCUAAACAGCCUAUUUUUCAAACAAACUGAGGGCACAAAUCCCAAAUUUUCUGAAAAAGGCACCAAUUUUCAUCAAAAAGCAAGUGGUCAUUGACACCCUAAAAUUCCUAUGCUCAGAUAAUGCAGCAGCUGGUUUAAUACUGCAAAAACAGAUUGGGAAUUUGAAUAUGAAUAUCAUUUUCCAUUCACCACCAAAAACACUCUGACACGUUUUUCUAAGGUUAAAAGAGUAAAAUGAAUAUAUGUUAACUUCAAGUGGAAAAAUACCUAUCAAGAAUCUUGGGACCAAUUAUAAGUCCAAGGAGAAACCUCGGAGAGCAUAGAAGUUAGCAAUGCCGAAGCGGUUGCACUGUGAUAAGGAAACAUCGAUCCCACGCUUAUACAGCUCAUUUCAACUGGGGACCUAUAAACACCACCCCACAAAAUCAUAUUUCCAUAUUUCCCAUUUCAUUUUAAAGAUUAUAUCCUAUUGCAUCUGGAAAAAAAAAAAGUGAUUAUAUCUACCUGACUACCUGAAUAUGCGAGUCGAGAGGGGUUUUUGAGCGGGGAUGCGGAAGGUUGAGCGACUGGGCUUUGGCUUGGCCCCGGUAAAAACUUUCGCCGCCGCAGUCCGGGCGGAUGUGGUGGCAGAACGGAACACAGUUCUAGCAGCGCUGGCGGCCAUGGUGGCUGAACAAAGAGGUCGAAUGAGGGUACGGGAGAAUUAACUUUCGAAUGAGGGUCCUGGCUUUGUGAAGGGUUUAAGCGACAAAAAAAAAAAAAAAAAUAAUUAAACCUUUUCCCUCUUUCUUUUUACGCCUCUUCUUUUUCCAAUGUUCUAUUGAAAUAUUCUAUGGAAAUCAUUAACCAAUAAUCUUGGGCAAUUUUUCCCAUGACCAAAAAGCCUUUUUACGUGGGUCCUUUCCCUAUUUUGUAGUUUCAACUUUCAAAUAUCAAGUAUCAACUAAUUUUUGGAAUGGUCAUGUUAGAAUGUAUUUAAUUUGAGAUUCAGACAGAAUUUAUUGUUAUUAUUAUUAUUAAUCAUUUUCACCUUUCAAAAAAAAAAUCUUGGUAAUAAAUUGUAAUAAUGCUUUGCUGUGUCUUUCAAAAAAAAAAAGGGUAAUAAAAUGAGAAAGAUACAAUCGAAGUAGUACAAAAUAAACUGUAACAUGAAUUCCAUCUUGUAAUAUCGAAGUUUCCAUAAAUUGUAUACAAAUUCUUUUCAAAAUGAUUAUGUACUUGAAGAUAAUGGGAUUUCCUUAAUUAACACGUUUUACUCAUAAAUGAAAUACUUUUGAAGAUUACAGAGGUAAAAUGGCGCAACGGAUCUUCUGUCUCACACUCUGUGCCACUUUUUAUUAUAUUGCUAUUUCUCCUACAUAAAUAUCAUGUUUUAGUUCUUUUUUGUUUCCUUAAGAUCCAAUAACUAUUAAUUCAGUAAUACACAAAAUUUAUCAAACUCAAAAAAUCAAAAUGCAUAAAAAAUGAGAUUUUUUAUAAAUUUUCUACCGUAUUUUUUAAUUUUCUAUUAUAUAUUACUUUUUUGAAGCUGUUGUAUUUAUUUUUUACUGAAUUAAUAGUUAUUAGAUCUUAAGGAAACAAAAAAGAACUAAAACAUGAUGUUUAUAUAGGAAAAAUAGCAAUAUAAUAAAAAGUGGGACAGAGUGUGGGACAGUAGAUCCGUUGCGAGUAAAAUGGAAUGGAAUACUUCUAAUACUGAUAACACCAUCUUACAAUAAAUGAAAUAAAAUUAUUAGUCUUAUUAAAAGUACAUGGGACCUUUUGGGAUGACUUUCCAAAGCCAAGGAUUUUAUUGGUCUAAGAAAAGUUUCAUUCUUCUGAUUUUUUGCUAUGAUAUCCAUUGCAUUCAAAAGAAAUUGACUUUUAAAGGAUUGAAUCAGAUAUUUAUACUUGAAGAUCCAUCCUUCAAAGCAACCCACAAUAUUAGAAACUCUCAUCCUUUUACUUGGAAAAUGUUCUGAAUAUGGCACAAAAAGUUUAAAAAAUUAGGGAACUUUUAGGCAAAUUUUCAAGGUUAUUACUAUAAUCUUUGGUACUAUUAUUUUCACAUUUAUGUUUAGAUAUAUGGACAAAUUUGUGAUAAAUCUCUACCAUAUCUAUAUCCUCUUGCUAAUUAGCUGUUUAAGAAGAUAAUUAUUAGUGUUAAUUCCAGUCAUGCUCUUUUAAUUUAAUGUGCCUAUUAUGCCCUCUAAAAAGAAUUUCAAUUUGGUCCUUAAAAUCCAACAAUGCAUCUGCUGAGCACCUCUCGUGCUAAUUUUGCCAAAAUAACUUCCAACAUUACAAUUGCCUCAAUCAAGCCAUACUUAGAUCAUGUUUGAUAACUCAGUUCAACACUUAAAUUUAAUAGAUUUAGAUCUUAACAUAUUGAGAUCUUUUGAUAAUGAAAAACUGAACAUCUGAAUUAAUUAAAUGACACUGAAUUUUUUAGGCAAAAUUUAUUCCCAAAAUUAAGUGAUAAGCUAUUCACUUAUUAUUGAAUGUGAUAUGCACUCAAAUGUAUUAGAUUUAAUAUUUAAUAAUUCAAUAAUUUAAUGGAUCCAGAUUUCAGAUUUCAAACUUCAAUUCUCAAAUUUCAAUUUUAUCAAAGUCACCCUUAAAUCUUGUUUACUCAAUCAGCCUUUAAUUAUGAAAUUUGGUCCAAUCCACCCUUUCGCAAAAAGACGGUGCUAUGUUUUGCCCACUCUUAGUCAGAGCAAUUCAAAGAUUAGAUACUGCCUUCCAUAAACUGGAAUUUUAAGCCCUGAAACCAAUACUUAUGUCAAACAUCCGAAGGAUCUUUAGUGUCCUUUAUUAUUAGAUUUUUUGUGUGUGUGUGCUUUGGUGUAACUAAAAUUUCAAUUAUGCAACAAUUAUCUACUUGAGAAUUUAUAAGCUUUUUAAAAAAAAAAAAAAAAAUUCCUAAGGUACAGUCUUUUGAAGUAUCGUUGUGCCCAUCUUUCCUCCUGACUUGACUGUUUCUAGCAGAGGAAAGUCCAACUAGAAUUGCUAGUGUUUUACAAUAUUCAAAAUGGUGGCCAUAGCUGAACUUGGCUAAAUAAUGAUGCGUAAUCCUUUAUUUCUCUUACCUAAGUUGACUUGAAGAAACUUGAACUGGUCAUGUAUUCUGUUACCUAACUUGAUACAAGAAACUUGAACUAGUCCCCAGGACAAAGCAGCAAGCAGCUGAUUUGGAAAAAUUUACAGAAGAACAAUUACAAAUGAGUCAUCCAAUAGGGAAGCAAUCAAAGGUGUGUGACGAUCAUUUGGAUCUCAAAUAUGGACCAAAAAUAGAUGUUUGGUCUCAAAUUAAUGCCUUGAGGUGCUUUUACUUCGGCUCA
rnacentral:lncRNA from 1 species